AGCAUGGAAUGAUGGAAUAGGACCUCGGUUCUAUUUUGUUGGUCUUCGGAACUAGAGGUAAUGAUUAAUAGGAACAGGCGGGGGCAUUCGUAUUGCGGCGUUAGAGGUGAAAUUCUUGGAUCGUCGCAAGACGGACUAUUGCGAAAGCAUUUGCCAAGUAUGUUUUCAUUGAUCAAGAGCGAAAGUCAGAGGAU
rnacentral:rRNA from 1 species